rnacentral:rRNA from 1 species
UUCCGGUUGAUCCUGCCGGAAGCUACUGCUAUUGGAAUUCGACUAAGCCAUGCGAGUCAAGGUGUCUUCGGACGCCGGCAAACGGCUCAGUAACACGUAGGUAAUCUACCCUCAGGACUGAGAUAACCCCGGGAAACUGGGGCUAAUACCAGAUAGAUAAAAGAUACUGGAAUGUUCUUUUAUCCAAAGCUUUUGUGCCUGAGGAUAAGCCUGCGCCCGAUUAGGUAGUUGGUGGGGUAAUGGCCCACCAAGCCUGCGAUCGGUACGGGCAGUGGGAGCUGUAGCCCGGAGUUGGGGACUGAGACAAGGCCCCAGGCCCUACGGGGCGCAGCAGGCGCGAAACCUCUGCAAUGCGGGAAACCGUGACAGGGGGAUUCCAAGUGCUCAUGCAUUGCAUGGGCUGUUCUUUGGUCUAAGUAACCAGAGGAGUAAGGGCUGGGCAAGACCGGUGCCAGCCGCCGCGGUAAUACCGGCAGCUCGAGUGGUAGCCGCGAUUAUUGGGCCUAAAACGUUCGUAGCCGGAUAAGUAAGUCUUUGGUUAAAUCCUACGACUUAACCGUGGGAAAUCUAGAGAUACUGCUUGUCUUGAGACCGGGAGAGGUUGGAGGUACUCCCAGGGUAGGGGUGAAAUCCUGUAAUCCUGGGGGGACCACCUGUGGCGAAGGCGUCCAACUGGAACGGCUCUGACGGUGAGGGACGAAACCUAGGGGAGCGAGCCGGAUUAGAUACCCGGGUAGUCCUAGGCGUAAAUGAUGCGAGUUAAGUGUGGGGGCAUCUACGAGAUGGCCCUGUGCUGUAGGGUAGCCGUUAAACUCGCUGCCUGGGGAGUACGGUCGCAAGGCUGAAACUUAAAGGAAUUGGCGGGGAGCACCACAAGAGGUGGAGGCUGCGGUUCAAUUGGAUUCAACGCCGG